GAGAAGAAUUAAGCUUUACCUCUUGAAGAAAAGAGGGUCAAAUAAUUUGUGGACAUAUUAAAUCACAUUGAUGUUCAAUAUCUACUUCUACUUUUUAAAAAUACCCUUCAAAAAUAAAAAUAGAUCUUCCUACUACCAAAUCCACAAAUAUAUUCUUGCAUCCACUUUCUACUCCUUAAUCUUGAAAUAAAGACUUUAUUUUUCCGUCUUUCAAACUUAAUCCUGUCACCUGUACUUUGGAGUCUAUCUAUUACCUUCUAAAGGACCUUGCUUUGCUGUUAUCCUGUCUCCUAAGUCAUUCCCUUACAAACAUACUCUAGUAUCUCAUCAUCAAAACAAAACACUGCUCUGACGCAUUUCUCCACUCACUUCAUAGCCAGAAUUCUUGAAAGAAUCAUCUGUACGUUCUUUCCAAUUUGUCAUCCCCCAUUUACUCUUCAACACAGUAUCAUUUGGCUUCUACGCUAAAUUGAUUUUUCGAAGGCCACCAACAGCUUUCUUAUUGCCAAAUCCAAUGGAUACUUUUCUGUCCUUACCUUGUGCAACUUCCAAGCAGCAUUCAACACAAUUAACCACUCCAUUCUUGAAACACUUGGAUUCUGAGACAUUGCUCUCCCCCCACACCUCACUUCCUGUCCUCCUCAGUCUCUUUGCUGGCUUCUCUGCCUGACCUGCAGGAUGCAGUUCCUCAAGCCCAGGUGCUGAGCCCCUUCUCCUUACUUUGUCCUCUUGCUGGAAUCUCAUUAGUUCUCGUGGAUUCUUUUUUUAUGUUGAUGUGUUCCCAGUUUAUACCUUCAGUUCUAACACAAUAAAUUUCACAUUCUCAUCUCGUCAGUGUAAUGGAUAUUUCUACUUGACUUUUCACAUCUCAAAUUUAACUUAUCCAAAAUGGAAGAACUCCCUCUGUUUCCCCUUUAAACUGUUGUCUCUGUAACUAUCCAUCAAGUUCUUCAAACCAGAACUCUAGGAGUCAUUCUUCAUUCUUCCCUUUCCUCUCCCUCCCAUUUCAUCAGUCCAUCUAUUCUUCCAUAGUAUGUCAUGAUUCUUCCACUUCUCUGUCUGGUACCACCACCUUUUCCCAGACUGUGAUCUACUCUCAAAUUAUGGCAAUAGCCUCCUAACUGGUCUCCCCACUUCCACUCUUGCAUUUUUGCAGACUGGAUGGGAGGAGGUGAGUAAAAUGGAUCUUAUCCUACUUCCGAUCAAUAAGAAAAAGACUAACACUCCAAAAGAAAAAUGGACAAAGGCCACAAAGAGUUCACAGAAAAGGAAAUACAAAUGCUUUUAACUUGUGCAAGAUGUUCAAUCUCACUCAUAAUAAAGAAAUAUAAAUUAAAAUUACAGUGAGAUACCAGUUUUCAUCUAUCAGAUUGGCACUUUUGUCCAUUGUUGGUAGGAAUGUAAAUUAUCACAAACAUUUUUGAAGGGCUAUUGGGUAAAAUCCAUCAAAUAAAAAAAAGGACAUAUCUAUUGACCCAGCAUAAAGUCUAGAAAUUUAUUCUGCUUGCACGUGUGUGCAAAGAAGUAUGUAUGAGGACGUUUUAAUAUUGUUUGUUAAAAGAUUGGAAACAACUAAAUAUCCAUCAUUAAGAAGCUGAUUAAAUACAUUACAGUAACAGUCGAACGAGUACAUUGGAUACUCUCUCUGUCUUGAAUGCGUUCCUCUCCUCUUUUCAUACAACUCUUCCUAUUUCUUCAGAUCUCGCUAAAAUAUCACCUCCUCUUCGCGGCCUUCCCUUUACUCUUUCUAAAGUAGGUCUCCUUUUUCUUCUCUCCUUCACUUGCCAUAACUUGCAGUUAUUUUGUUAGUUCACUUGUAUUUUUGGCUCCCUCUCCCUGUGGAAUGGAAGCUCUGAAGGGGCAGUCUGAAUGUAUUUUUUCACUACUGUAUCCCCAGUAUCUAGUGUAGUUUUUGGCACUUAGUAUGUAUUGAUUGAAUGAAUGACUAAAAAAAUGAUUGACGGUUGAAUCUCAAAUAAAAGUCCACAUGUCAUCCUCAUUGGAGAAACAUUAAAUGCAUUCCUAUUAAAUUCAUGAGCAAGAUAAGAACGUCAGGUGUAACGACGUGAUUUAAAUAUAUGUUUGGUCCUCAUCCCCCUUCCUCGCCCAGAGCUGCCAAAACUCUUGGAAUUUCCUAAGCAUUCAGAGCACUGGGAGCAUCUUUUGUUAUAAUAUUUCGUCUUUUGUCCUCAGUUCCUGAAAGAGCUCCAGACCCAUAAAGGUAAAAGGAGUGUCUUGUUAUGUAUAACAAGGGCCUUUCAACCACACCUGAGUUAUGUUAAUGAGGUGACUUUUGGAAAGCCCUUAAGGAUGGGGGCUGGUUGCCAGGGAAACCAACCAUGUGAUUAGAAGGUUGGAACUUUCAGCCCCACCUCCCAGACCCCUGAGGAAGCAAAGCCACUGGAGGUUGAAUUCAGUCACCAGUGGCUGGUGAUUUAAUCAAUGGUGCUUAUGUAAUGAAGCCUCCAUAAAAACACAGGACUAGGUUCAGAGAGCUUCUAGGUUGGUGAAGGUGUGGAGGUGCUGGAAGAGCGGCGCGCCCAGAGAGGGCAUGGAAGCCCCACGCCCCUUCCCACAUACCUUGCUCUGUGCAUCUGGUUGUUCCUGAGUUGCAUCCUUUUAUAAAAAAAUGGUAAUCUAGUAAGGCCAGAUUAUGAGACCACCAACCCAUCAACUGUGCCCACGCAGACAAGUAUCCGAUAAGCGACCUUUUCACUGCAAGAGGUUGGAACUCCACCCUCAGGGCAUGCUAAAGCCGCCAUUCUGUGAACGUGCUUCCUAUGAAGAGGCAUGAAGCCUGACUACGGUUGCACAGAUCAUCAAUUACCUCAUCUCUCCUCACCUCCAAUCAUUUCAGACCACCUUGCCCCCACCCCAUAAAUAUCCCUGAGGCCCUAUUUUCCAGGAAGCAGAUUUGAGAUUCAUUCUCCUGUAUCCAUACUUGGCUGCCUUGUGAUUAAACCCUUUCUCUCUGCAAUCUCAUCA